GUGAGCAGUUCAUCAGUUUGGC
rnacentral:miRNA from 1 species